rnacentral:rRNA from 1 species
GAGUUUGAUCCUGGCUCAGAUUGAACGCUGGCGGAAUGCUUUACACAUGCAAGUCGAGCGGCAGCGCGGGGCAACCUGGCGGCGAGCGGCGAACGGGUGAGUAAUGCAUCGGAACAUGUCCAUGUCGUGGGGGAUAGCCCGGCGAAAGCCGGAUUAAUACCGCAUACGCCCGAGAGGGGAAAGUGGGGGACCGCAAGGCCUCACGCGAUUGGGUUGGCCGAUGUCCGAUUAGCUAGUUGGCGGGGUAAUGGCCCACCAAGGCGAUGAUCGGUAGCUGGUCUGAGAGGAUGAUCAGCCACACUGGGACUGAGACACGGCCCAGACUCCUACGGGAGGCAGCAGUGGGGAAUUUUGGACAAUGGGGGCAACCCUGAUCCAGCCAUUCCGCGUGAGUGAAGAAGGCCUUCGG